rnacentral:tRNA from 1 species
GGGAAUGUGGCUUAGUGGUAGAGUGCUUGCCUAACAUGCAGGAAGCACUGGGUUCGAUCCCUCAGUACCA